rnacentral:tRNA from 7 species
GUGCUUGUAGCUCAGUUGGAUAGAGCAACGGCCUUCUAAGCCGUGGGUCGGGGGUUCGAAUCCCUCCAGGCACG